rnacentral:lncRNA from 1 species
GCUCGGAUCUUGGCUAUAAAUAAUAAAAUCAAUAAGCAGAAAAUAUAUAAGCAACCUUAUUGGCACAACGAUCGGACUUAACUAACUUCUUUUGUUGAUGAAUCAAUUCUUUACUUUAUUUAUAGGAAACAAGUGGUUGAAAAGCUUGCUAUAUUCAAUUAUAAAUGAUGCCAAUUAUGAGAAGAAGAAUAUGCGCACAAGUUGCAAUCAAAUAUUAAAAAUUAUAAGAAAGAAUAAUAAUAAAAAAUUAUAUAAGUAAUGGCAUGGGGUU